GAUGCGGGAGGGGAAGUCUAGCUGGCAUGGACUUCUUUGAAGCAUUGAGGGCAGAACUGUUUCUCAGUAAGAAAACUACCACUUGGUAGAGGACUUGUUCAAGUUGAAGAUAAAUCCUGAUUUAAGAUAAAUCUUAAAACUCAGUCAAAGACCUGGAAAUCAACUAUGUAGAAAUCCAAGCUUUUGAAGCAGAUGCAUCAGAGUGUCACCCUCAAGCACUAUGACAAGAGCUAUGACUGGAGAUCCUGGAAAACAUGUAAACUGGAAUGAAUCCUUCUGAACUACCUUGCUCUGCUUCUCAGCUGAAUUCUAAGGACAGCCUUACCAUCUGUUGGCUAUCUACCAUCUGG